rnacentral:rRNA from 1 species
AGUGAACGCUGGCGGUAGGCCUAACACAUGCAAGUCGAACGGCAGCACAGUAAGAGCUUGCUCUUACGGGUGGCGAGUGGCGGACGGGUGAGGAAUACAUCGGAAUCUACUUUUUCGUGGGGGAUAACGUAGGGAAACUUACGCUAAUACCGCAUACGACCUACGGGUGAAAGCAGGGGAUCUUCGGACCUUGCGCGAUUGAAUGAGCCGAUGUCGGAUUAGCUAGUUGGCGGGGUAAAGGCCCACCAAGGCGACGAUCCGUAGCUGGUCUGAGAGGAUGAUAGGCAAACCGGAAACUGGACAACGGUCAAAACUCCUACGGGGGGAGGCGGGGGGAAAAAUGGAACAAUGGGCGAAAGCCGGACCCAGCCAUACGGCGGGGGUGAAGAAGGCCUUCGGUUGGUAAAGCCCUUUUGUUGGAAAAGAAAGGAGGCAGGUAAAUACCCGGCUGUUCUGAGGGUACCAAAGAAUAAGCACCGGCUAACUUCGUG